GGAGCACAGGAAAUUUAAACUGUCGAAGCAAGAAAUAAAAAUAAUACCUACAACCCUUAAAUAUAGCACUUUACAUUUUGUGAAGUGUUUCAGAGCCAUUUUCUCCUUGACACUACCUCCUCACUCCAUUUUUCCUUGGCCGCCGCUUAUCAUCUCUGGGUGCUGAAGUCUCUUGAUGUGAACAGAAUGGAGAACACUUUGGUCUUUACCUCUCACCUCUACACCUUUUGUUUCCCAGGAACAGAGGCCACAAAAGAGCUGUAAGAGCAGAGUGAAGCAGGCUCAUCCUGGUAAUUUGUAGUUUUGCAGAUAAAGAACACUUUCCUCAGCACAUGUGCAGUGGAUCCUGACACCAGAGCUUCAAAGAGGUCCCAAUUGGAGAGAAAAUGAGGAAAAGGAGGAACAGAUGGGACUAAAAGCAGAAGGCACCUGAUGAAAGAGAAAAAGCAAGGCUGGGGGAAGGGUGUUUAGAGAAGGACUGGGAGAACAAAAGCAAAGAAUCUGAAAUGAGAGCAUGCUUUCUUCCGUUCCCAUGAACUUCAGAAUGAGCCACAUCUUUACUCAAAGCCUCCUCUGCUAUUUAUAUGUGUGACCUUAGGCUCUACAACCAUUCCAAAGAAAAACAGAUUAUAUGAACCUCUGGACUCUGGAGUAAGCAUGCAUUUUGAGGUCCUGUGGUAAAGGCCUUGGUCAUGUCUGCAUAAAAGUCAGCAUGGGAUAUCCUCAAAGCUGCAAGGCUCCACCUAUGUAGACACUACUGGGAGCAGGAUGCCUGGGAGACGAAGCAGGGCAGCAUAAAUUUUUGUAGCAGAGGCAGCAUCUACAGGGGGUGUCUUUGUGUCUCGGAGGAUUGUUGCAAAAGAGUUCAUAAAUGUGCAGUUCCCUAUCUUCCCCAACCCUUCAAAGAUGGGAAAGAACUUCAUUUAGAUGUUCCAUCCUACCCCGUUUUUUUACUGAUCUGGGCAAUACCAGGUCCCCUUAACACACACACACACACACACACACACACACACACACACACACACACACACACACUUCCUGCAAUAUAUUGUGCUGAAAAUCAGCCUUGCUGUCACAGUUCCAUUAUCAGGAGAGUUUGGAGUAAUGCCCAGCCUAGUCUAUAAUGAAAAAUUGUGGCUCAGUGUCCUGAUUAAAACCAUAUCAUCCUUUCUUGUCUAUAGCUCCGUUCUUAAUUUCAGUCUAGCCCAAGACGCUAUCUAAGGUGGCUUGGAAUGCAGGCCCACAUGUUCCUUUCUGCUGUGAGUACAAGCAGAACAGGCAGAGCUGGGAUUCAAAUUGACCUCUCUCUGAUUCUGAACCCCAUGGUCUUUCCCAUGAAGAGAUCUAGUUUUUUUUGUUUUUGUUUUUGUUUUUUUUUUUCAUCUGUUAGGGGCUGUUAUGGGUUGACUUGUGUUUCCUCCAUCCUCCCUGAAAAAGAUAUUUUGUAGCCCUAACCUCUAGUACCCCAGAAUGUGACCAUAUUUGGAGAUACGGUCUUUAUAGAAAUAUUAAAGUUAAAAUAGGUUCAUUUGGUGUGAGCUCUAAUCCCAUAUGACUGGUGUCCUUAUGCACAGAGGAAAUAUGAAUACCAAGAAAGAGACACAGAGGAAUCAGAGAAAAGACAGACACCUAUGAGCCAAGGAGAAAGGCCUAGAACAGAUCCUUCCCUCACAAUCCUCAGAAGGAACCAAGCCUACCAACAACACCUUGAUCUCAGACAUUCAGCCUCCAAAACUGUGAUGCAAUCAGUGGUGCUUUGUUAUGCCAGUCCCAACAAACUAAUACAGGAGAAAUUCAGAGUUUUCAAACUGGAAGUGCAUGUCCGUGAACAUUAGAUUGUUGCAGCCAUCCAACUGUACAGUGCACAGCUCCAGAGGGCAGUAUUCCCAGGGUCACAUCAUGGUGCAUUCCUGCACUAGACGUCAUACACCACACAGCCUCACACAGUGGUCCCUGACCAAGCUGACACAGAUAGAGUCUCCUCCUGUGAGACAUCUGUUACAUAUGUUACAUGUGUUAAACCUGUUAUAAAUUCAGUUAAAUUGCCCUCAAAGUAAAGAUUAUAAAAGAAGGAUGUUAAGGGAGAUACUGUUGGAUUUGUUGCAGUGCAUUUAAAAAUAGAUAACUUCAAGGCCAUGGAAUAUGGGACUGUUUUUUAGCACAAAAUUAUAAAAGUGGAGAACUAAUAUAUGUUAACCUAUCGGGAAACUCAUCUGAGUAUGAGCUGGGCAGACGUUUUGAUUGUCUAUGGAGGGCUGGACUUCCCACUUUUCUCCCACUCAUCUGACAGGAUCAGUUUUUCAGGUGAUGAAUUAGGAACAAGGUGAGAAGGAGGUGGCUCUAGACACCCUGGAUAUAGCACUGUUUUCUGUUAAUGAGAUUCAGAUGGCCUGAUAAUUAAAGCUGUCUCCAAAACAGAAUGGCUUUCCUCAUCUAGCAUCCUUGGCACAGGGUAAUUCAACUGAAGACUGGGUUCAUUUAUCCAUUCAACUCCCUAAUAAAUACUUAUGGAGUAUUAGGCAAUGUCCUGGAUAUUGGAGGAAUACAAAGAAUAGUGCCAGUCAUAUCAAUCUUGCUCUCAAAGAGUUUAGGUUCUAAGGAGAAAUAAGGUAGAUGCGUAGAAAAUUCCAAUAUAGAAUAUAAAACUAUGUGUCACAGAAAAAGU
rnacentral:lncRNA from 10 species